rnacentral:rRNA from 1 species
AACGAACGCUUGCGGCGUGCUUAACACAUGCAAGUCGAACGAGAAAGGGACUUCGGUCCUGAGUAAAGUGGCGCACGGGUGAGUAACGCGUAGGUAAUCUACCCCUGUGUUCGGGACAACAUCGGGAAACUGGUGCUAAUACCGGAUACGUUUCACGGAUUGCGAAAUAAGUGAAGGAAAGAUGGCGACCCUUCGGGGGCUAUUGCACGGGGAUGAGCCUGCGUACCAUUAGCUAGUUGGCAGGGUAAGGGCCUACCAAGGCGACGAUGGUUAGCGGGUCAGAGAGGAUGAUCCGGCACACGGGAACUGGAACACGGGCCAGACUCCUACGGGAGGCAGCAGUGAGGAAUUUUGCACAAUGGGGGAAACCCUGAUGCAGCGACGCCGCGUGAGUGACGAAGGUCUUCGGAUCGUAAAGCUCUGUCAGCAGGGAAGAAAUGUAUUAUGGCUAAUAUCCAUGGUACUUGACGGUACCUGCAAAGGAAGCACCGGCUAACUCCGUGCCAGCCGCCGCGGUAAAAC